rnacentral:rRNA from 1 species
UACAGAGGGUGCGAGCGUUAAUCGGAAUUACUGGGCGUAAAGCGUGCGUAGACGGUUAUUUAAGUCGGGUGUGAAAGCCCCGGGCUCAACCUGGGAAUUGCAUUCGAGACUGAAUAGCUAGGGUACGGUAGAGGGAAGCGGAAUUUCCGGUGUAGCGGUGAAAUGCGUAGAUAUCGGGAGGAACACCGGUGGCGAAGGCGGUUCUCUGGGCCUUACCUGACGCUGAGGAGCGAAAGCGUGGGGAGCGAACAGG